rnacentral:rRNA from 1 species
AUGCCUUUUCGGGAAAUAAAAGGGCCGGCGAGGGAAAAGCUGAAGCUAGGUGUUAAAGAUUAUAAAUUGACUUACUACACCCCAGAGUAUGAAACUAAGGAUACUGAUAUCUUGGCAGCAUUCCGAGUAAGUCCUCAGCCUGGGGUUCUGCCCGAAGAAGCAGGGGUGAUGAGACCAUUCUCUUCGUGGAACCUAUAG